rnacentral:rRNA from 1 species
ACAGCAGUAGCCGCGGUAAUACGUAGGGUGCGAGCGUUAAUCGGAAUUACUGGGCGUAAAGCGUGCGCAGGCGGUUAUAUAAGACAGAUGUGAAAUCCCCGGGCUCAACCUGGGACCUGCAUUUGUGACUGUAUAGCUAGAGUACGGUAGAGGGGGAUGGGAUUCCGCGUGUAGCAGUGAAAUGCGUAGAUAUGCGGAGGAACACCGAUGGCGAAGGCAAUCCCCUGGACCUGUACUGACGCUCAUGCACGAAAGCGUGGGGAGCAAACAGGAUUAGAUACCCCAGUAGUCCCUGUCUCUUAUAC